rnacentral:rRNA from 1 species
AUUGAACGCUGGCGGAAUGCUUUACACAUGCAAGUCGAACGGCAGCACGGGGGCAACCCUGGUGGCGAGUGGCGAACGGGUGAGUAAUACAUCGGAACGUGCCCGGUCGUGGGGGAUAACGUAGCGAAAGUUACGCUAAUACCGCAUACGAUCUGAGGAUGAAAGCGGGGGACCUUCGGGCCUCGCGCGAUCGGAGCGGCCGAUGUCAGGUUAGGUAGUUGGUGGGGUAAGGGGCUACCAAGCCGAGGAUCUGUAGGUGGUCUGAGAGAACGACCAGCCACACUAGAACUGGGCCACGGACCAGACGCCUACGGGAGGCAGCAGUGGGGAAUUUUGGACAAUGGGCGCAAGCCUGAUCCAGCCAUUCCGCGUGCAGGACGAAGGCCUUCGGGUUGUAAACUGCUUUUGUAUGGAACGAAAAGGCUCUGGCUAAUACCUAGGGAUCAUGACGGUACCGUAAGAAUAAGCACCGGCUAACUACGUG